AGGCGGCCCUCUCCUGAUAUCAGCGUUGCGGCUGGAGGCAGGGCUGGUCCUCUACCUGCUGUCCACUGCCACCUUGGCCUGCUCUUGCGCUGCGAACUCUGUGCCGCCGCUCCCUUCACCAUAUUUUGGGACGGCCGGCGCUAAGAAUUUAUGCUAUGACCUUCGAUUCAGCCAGGAGGUGACACCAAACUUGAUCAGAAACCAUGCCACAGGUGAAGAGGUAUAUUGAGCCCUGCCUGGCCAGUGAGGUUACUAGAGAAUUGGAAGAGGCUCAAGUCAGCAUCCUGCACAUGGUUAUCAAACCAUUGUGAAGUCUUAUACCUUCCACCCUCUCUCAGUGCAAUGGAGGCUGACCAAACAGUAUAGGAGGGUCACAGAUGAUGAAGGCAAUCUUUUCCUUUUUGUAACCCCUCACUAGGCUGAACUGUGGAGAAUAUCUUUGAAAAGUGUUUUAGAGAGUCUACCAGAUUUUCCAUGUGAGUGCCUGUGCAGCAGAAGAGUGGGUCUUCUCAGUGGUUAAGCUUCACAGUGAUUAAGUUGACUCAUCAUUUCCUUACCAAGCAUAAUUUUUAGUCACAGAAGUUGCAAUGGAUUCUUUCAAGGCCUUUAAGCCUGGUUUGUUUCCAUGGAAAAGAGCAUAACAGAAGAUUGAGUGUCGAAAUGUCCCUGGCAGCAGGCAUGAAUACAGAGAUUCCUGGGAGUCAACCUGCCAUCAAGUCAACUGUUUUGCCUCAGAUGUUUCAGCCCAGGUUCAACUUUGGAAUUUCAGAUUCUUCUGUCUUCAGGUCCUGAGCCUCCAUUUGACUUUGCAUCUCCUCCACUGAGGAUUGUAGAGUUAAGUCAGGAAAGAAAAUGGCUGUGCACAGAGGGAGGAUUUAUCACUGUUCUUCAAGGAUACUUCUGUGGCAGUGACAGUGGUUGGGAAUGUUAGCGCUCACUGCUCUGACAGAGACCUGCUUCAACAGGGUACGAAGUGUUGCCUCUGCUACUUCUCUGCUAGAUCAUCAUUUAGCCCAGCUGUAUUAUGAGAUCAUCUUUUGACUUCAUGGUGUCACUGAAAGGCUUAGAUGUCCUAGUGGAUGAAAAUAUUUCAACGCUUCUCUCUGCCGUCUUUUUGCUGCCAUACACUGUGCUGGGUGAUGGGGAUAUGGAGAUGAAUUAGACAUGAUUCCUGCCCUCAAGGAGUUCUCAGCCUAGUGAGAGUUCGACAUGUACACAGAGAAUUACAACAGUAUGGUAUGCUCUACAACAGAGGGUGUUCAUGAGGAUAUUGUAAAGUGUGUGUUAUAAGCACGCUAUAAAUUACAGCUAUCAUUGUUAGUUCUUGGAACAUUCACCGCAUGACAGAAACAACAGCAGGCCCUGGUGGCUGGGAGGACUUCAUGGAUCCAACAGCAACCUGAAGAAAUCCUACUCGGAUGGAUAUAAUACAACCUGCUAAGUGUCCUAGCACUUAUCAGGUUGUAUUAUCAUUGUCCGUGUCUAUGGCUCUCGUCUACCAGACUCUAAAUUCCUUACAGGCAAGGACAGUGCCUUAUUCAUCUUUGUAUUCGCAGUGCCUAAUCCGGUGCACAUUGUAGGCCUCAUUAAAUGUUUGUUGAAUGAAAAAAUGAAUCAUCAACAGACAUUAAUUGGGCGCCUGCUCUGUGAUCUCCAUGGGCUCAUCUUGUCCCCGCCAGUUGCCUACAACGUCCAAGCUGUCUUCAAUAUGCUUUCUUCUGAAGCUCACUCCUGUCUUCUAAUUCUUUUGCCAAGGACUUUUCUGUGUAGUGCAAAGACAGCAAAUAUACUUCAUCUCAAGUACCAUCUCCAGUUGAUUGAUAGUAUCUGUCUUUAUUAUGUUCUAUAAAAAAUAGUUCUGAAGCCAGGUGUCAACUCAGUAUGAAAGAGGAUUAUAACUAAUUAGUGAUGUUUGCUGGGGGUGGGGGAAGGGGAUUAGCAGCAUAAGUGCCAUAUAUAUGUCAUAUUUAAUAUUGUGUUUUCCAUGAAAUACUCUGUUUCCAUGCCUGUAUUUUAGUCUUGGCUACUUGCAGAUGUUGCAUUGCCGCUGCUGCCACCACUGCUGUUACUACAGUUGCUACCAGUUGUUCCUUGGGUAGGACCAGAGUGAUCAUUGAUCAGAAACUCAUCCUCACAGUCUGGGGUUUGCUCCUGUUGCUGGUAUUCAGUUUUCCCCUUUCAACUUUACCUCAGCUAACCCCUUACCUACAUUAACAGGUAGGCCUUUAGUUUAUGUUCACCACUCAACAGGCUCAUAUUUCCUUUUUCUUAUUUACUGUGAUUAAUCAUUAUUGCUUCAUGAGAAGCCUUCUUUCUAUUAGAAGAUGUGACAACUAGAAUACAAGUUAAACCAUUCCAUCAAGGCCCUACAGUGAAUCAUAUAAGUUCCCCUUUAAUAUAGGAGAAAAUUGAGCAUACUCACACACUAUAAGGCAGGGAGAAGGCAGACGUUGUACAUAUGGGAGAGAGAUGAUAACUUAUGGCUCUUAGAACAUAGGCGGAGGGUUAGCCUUAGAUCAAAGGAGUUACCUCUUUACUGGGGUAUAGUGAUAAGAAUAGGAGUUAGAAACAGUACCUGAUAAGGGUGUUGGAGAUUUGUAAUUGUAGAGGUGGGUGAGAGGAAGCUGACCAGGGACAGGAUUACAGAGACAAGAGUCUUAAGAAAUAUCCAGGCCAUAUCAAAGUGAGCAACUAGUUUGAAACUUGAUUAGAGACUCAGGAAAAGAAAAGGUAAUCUUGGGCCACUGUCACAAGUAGCAUUUGGUUGCCUAGAAUUGAUCUUGAUUGAUUGAAGGAUAGGGGCUUCUCAGGUAGCUCAGUGGUAAAGAAUCUGCCUGCCAGUACUGGAGAUGCAGGUUCGAUCCCUGGGUUAAGAAGAUCCCCUGGAGGAGGGCAUGGCAACCCACCCCAGUAUUCUUGCCUGGAGAAUCCCAGAGACAGAGGAGCCUAGCAGGAUACAGUCCAGAGGGUCACAAAGAGUCAGACAUGACUGAAUGAGCAUGAUUGAGGGAUGAACAGCUAGCAAGAGAAGAGUUACACACCAGUGAAUUUGAGGAUCCAGACUGUAUAUGAAAGGAAGGUCAGAGUCUGCAUAGAAAAAGUGGCCUUAGUGUGAUCAAGAUGGGUGCUGAGUCUUUGGAAAACUGGUAUGAUAGGAUCUAUAUCAGAGACUGAACUUUGGAAUGGUAAAAUUUAAAAACUGGAGUGAUCAAGAUACCUUUGAUGCUAGGAUGUCAGAUGGUUGUUUACUUCAGUAUUGAAAUGACCCAGGAUUAUAGCAAAAGCUGGGCUAGGAAUAAACACUGAGGGCUAGAUAAAAUAGGUUUCAGUGGCUGAAGAAUGAUCUGGGGAUUGGCACAUGACAACUGUGCAGGUUCAAGAGAAGAAAGGAUGCAGUGGGAUAGUAGUAUGAGCCUCAGAAGAGUGGUGGAAAUUACUAGAAGAUGCAAAAACUGUUGUUUGCCCAUUGCACUGAGGUUUUGGCUGGCAGAAUGAACAUCUAAAAUGAUUCCUUUCUCUAUUAAGUGCUUAUUCUAUGCCUGACAUUUUGCUGUGUGCCAUAUAUUUCUCCCUUUUGGUCUGUCACAUAUCCUGUGUGAAAAUGAGCAGCAAUUCCAGGUGAGGGUUAGAGUUAGGCUGCUGACCCUUAGCACUGGUGGAAUCCUGUUGCCAUCUCCUAACUCUCUGAAAGAGCAGAAGGCUGGUCAUCUGAAAGUGUCAGAAAAAGAUUUAUUUAGGAUCAGAAUUUCUCCUUGACCUUGAUGUAGCUUGAUUACAUGGUACAUGCUUUUGUUGGCUGUGUUCCAUAAUAUACUUUGGCCUCUGAGUUGAGGAGUGAACUAGAACUGUCCUUUGAAAAAGAUAGGCGCAGUUCUUUAAAAACACAUAUUAAUUAGAAACAAGACACAGUCCUAUUAUCUAAUUGAGCUUUUAAGAUAAAGAGUAGACAAAAGAAAGCCCUCAUCAGUGGAUGAAUAACAAAACCACUUUGUAAAAGCCAUUUAGGGUCAGGACAAAUCCAGUUUAAUGGCCCUAUUGUAGAUGUUCCCUGUGUUGUUGGGAAGGAGGGCUGGAAAUUGAUGCAAAGAGAUAGCCCUUAGGAUUUGGAAGGUAAAAUUUAGGGUGAGUGUCUAUGAGCCCUCUGACACCGCAUGCAGUCCUUUUUCUUUUCUUAUAGUCUUCAAACGAGUCAAUAUUCCAAUGAAGGUUUAGAGCCAGUGUGUCAGAGUCACCAGGCCUUCAGACAGCCUAUCCCCUCCUGUGGGAGCUGCUGUAUAUUUAUUCCUCAGGAGGAGCUGGUAGAAGACUUCAUGAAGGAGAAGAAAAGGAAAAAAGUCAGAGGACGACUACAACCUCUCUUCGUCUCAGCUUUGCAAAGCAUGACUCAACAGAGAGAUCACACUCUUGAAGACUCUCCAGACCACAGCCACCGCAGACACUAACCACAGCCAGCAACUGGACCUCAGCCCCAGGAUUUACUAUUGAUGUCUCAACUGAUUAUGAAAUCAGUAGGAGAGCUUGUAUCCCUUUCUAGCUUGCUCAUCAGAGAUUUUAAGAUUUGCAUACAUGUGGUAUGUAAGGACACAAAUCUUAUGGGUUAAUAGUAAACUGUCAGGAGUCCUGGUUACUUUUUGUCUCUUGGAAAUGGGAAAGAAAGGGUAUGGGAAAAGUGGAAAGUCUUAUACCUUUCAGAUAUUCUCAAUGAUUGCUCAGGACACCCAUAGUCACAUCUUCUGAUGCCUUAUCUUAUAUCAUGCCUCUCCUUUCUUCAGAAUUGCAGUGUGCUCCUUGCUCUCUAGCCACUUUUCAUUUCCUGCUCCACACUGAUGGGUUUCAGCAAGUGUUUUUUCUUUUCCUUCCCCCAGGCCACAUGUCUGUAACAGGCCCCAGCUGGGAAGAGCUUUAUUGUGAAUGAGUGAAUGAAGCUUCAGUGAAUGUUGGGAGUGACAUCAUGUUUUUCUCUCUGGAUAUGUGGAGAGAAGAAGUGCAGUGCAGAGAGGAAGGAGAGGGAAACUAUGAUAUCCCAUUAUAAAGUAACAAAUGCUUGACAUUUUAGUGGGUAUUAGACCUAAAAGCCUACAUGAUUGAAGGAAGCAAACCAUGAUCUCUGUUGUUUGUGAGUGAAGAUAGGAAUGAACUCCUUAUUUCCUUGAAGAAUGAAGGAAGGGAGGGAGGGAGAGAGAACUGAAGGAGGUCAUAAAAUCCUUUACUUAAUUGGAGGAGGCACUGAGACUCGCUUCAUGAACUUGUACUUUUUAAAGGUAGCUUGAAGAUAAGUUGUGCUGCACUAUUUCUGUUGCUACUCGUGAGAGUCACUACCAGCCUCUCUUCUCAGGACUAAUGGGCCAGAAAUCUUGGGCAGAAUGACUUCGGGCAACCCCAAAUACCAGAUAUUGGCAUAAGGAAACAGUACAAUGAAAAGUCAAUACUUGGACCUUUGUCAUUCCACAGAGCAUGAUGUACUAUCUAAAACAAAAAAGAAGAGCUGCUUUGGAGAAGGGCUUUAAAAGAUUGUUUCAUCAGAAGAAAGAUUUAGAAGAGGGGAAACUUCCAGUUACAUAAGAUGGGCAUUUUAGCAUUUAAAGACGUCUGUUCCCUGUGUAGGUCAUUGAGAUUGAUACCAGGAGCAGACUGUGGCUGACAAGGCCAGUUUAACUAAGCGGUUUCAUGCUCCUAGAGAGAUGCUGUCACUUUCUUUCUCACUUUGGCGAAUAUUCAUCUGCAAUGAGUCCAGUACCUGAAAGAGCAAGAAAACAACAACCAUAGAGGGGGACAACAGUAUGGCCUUCUGAGUGAAGACAGCAGCGAAAAAUGUCAUGAGAUUGAUUGCAUUGGGCUGGGCUUGUUCUUUUUUUUAAAAAAUGUCUUCUUUUUGAUGAUAAAAGUAACAGGUGGUCAUAGUUAAAAAAAUAAAGUGAAAGGUAUAAAUUAAAAAGUAAAGAAUAUCUAUAAUUUUAACAACCCAGAAAAUCUUAACAUUUGCAUGUUUCCUUUUACAACUUUAAAAAAGUGUAACAGUUUAAAAUCGACAUUGUAUUUGUUACUCUCCAACUUUCUCAUUUAGAAAUAAAUAAGCAUUUUUCCAUGUCAUUAGAAUUACUUAAAAACACUAUUAAGUGUCACAUAAUAUUUCAUAUGAAAAAUCCACCAAGCAACUGAGAGCUCUUUUCAGUUGUUGAGAAAUCACCUUUACAAACCAACAGCAUACAGAAGAUUUAAACAAUACAAAUUACAAGCCUUACAAAAUGUGAAUGGAAAUAUAUACACUUCUGACUUGAGUUACAGAAUACACAAUUCAUUUGAAGUACAUUUGGAAUGCUUACAAGAACAGAUUCUUGGGAGAGAGAGCAAGAUGGCAGAGAGCAGGACGUGAAGCUCACCCUCUCUCAUAAAUAAAACAAAAAUACAUCUACAUGUGGAAUAAUUUUCACAGCAUAUCUAUUGAACACUGGCAGAAGACCUCUGACUGCUAAAAAGGCAAGAAAGUCACAAUGUAACUGGGUGGGAAUAAGGAAAGCAAGAGAGGAAUCAAGAUGAGACCUGCACCCCUAGGAGGGAACUGUGAAAGAAGAAAGGUUCCUGCAUCCUGGGAAGCCCCAUCACUAGUGUGGCCAAGAACAGAAAUGGAGUUUGACAGCCUCAGAGGAAAAUGCAGUAGCCAUUUCUCUGCAGCCAGAGCACAGGGAGAACUGCACAGAUGGUCAGUGCUGAUGUCCUGCACUCCUCAGCCUGACACACAGAUCUUCCAGUGCUGGUGGAGGCUGAGUGCUGAAACUUGGGCUUCAGAAAUAAAACCCUGGGAGAGGACUGGGAUAGGCUAUGGGUAGACAGGCUGGGGGAGGGGCAGGAAUCCAGUGCAACAGUGGCUGGGAGUGUAAGCAGAGGAAGCCUGGGCCACCUUAGAGGCCAGUUGCCAUUGUUUGUGGUGGGUAUGAGGGGAGGGAUGGUAAUGGAUUAUAGACUUUUUCCCUGUGUGAAUGCUCACAGAGGGGAGGACAGUGCCGACAUAGGCUCUGGGGACUGUUGCAAAUCACCACCACCUGCCCAGAAACCAGGAGUGGUUCUGGACCCCUGCUGCCACCCACCCAAACUCCAGGAGUGGUUGUAACCUCCUGUGCUACCAUCCCAUGUCCCAGGGGUGCACCUUUUACAACUUUAAAAAAGUGUAACAGUCUAAAAUUGACAUUGUAUUUGUUACUCUCCAACUUUCUCAUUUAAAAAUAAAUAAGCAUUUUUCCAUGUCA